rnacentral:rRNA from 1 species
GAUGAACGCUGGCGGCGUGCCUAAUACAUGCAAGUCGAGCGAACAGACGAGGAGCUUGCUCCUCUGACGUUAGCGGCGGACGGGUGAGUAACACGUGGAUAACCUACCUAUAAGACUGGGAUAACUUCGGGAAACCGGAGCUAAUACCGGAUAACAUGUUGAACCGCAUGGUUCAACAGUGAAAGACGGUCUUGCUGUCACUUAUAGAUGGAUCCGCGCCGCAUUAGCUAGUUGGUAAGGUAACGGCUUACCAAGGCAACGAUGCGUAGCCGACCUGAGAGGGUGAUCGGCCACACUGGAACUGAGACACGGUCCAGACUCCUACGGGAGGCAGCAGUAGGGAAUCUUCCGCAAUGGGCGAAAGCCUGACGGAGCGACGCCGCGUGAGUGAAGAAGGUCUUCGGAUCGUAAAACUCUGUUAUUAGGGAAGAACAAAUGUGUAAGUAACUAUGCACGUCUUGACGGUACCUAAUCAGAAAGCCACGGCUAACUACGUG